UACGUAGGGUGCAAGCGUUGUCCGGAAUUAUUGGGCGUAAAGAGCUCGUAGGCGGUUGGGUAAGUCGGGUGUGAAAACUCCAGGCUCAACUUGGAGAUGCCACCCGAUACUGCUCUGACUUGAGUUCGGUAGGGGAGUGGGGAAUUCCUGGUGUAGCGGUGAAAUGCGCAGAUAUCAGGAGGAACACCGGUGGCGAAGGCGGGUCUCUGGGCCGAUACUGACGCUGAGACGCGAAAGCGUGGGGAGCGAACAGG
rnacentral:rRNA from 1 species